rnacentral:rRNA from 1 species
GACGAACGCUGGCGGUGCGCUUAACACAUGCAAGUCGAACGGUAAGGCCCUUUCGGGGGUACACGAGUGGCGAACGGGUGAGUAACACGUGAGUAACCUGCCCUCAUCUCUGGGAUAACAGUCGGAGACGGUUGCUAAUACUGGAUAUGAGCUUGCAAGGCAUCUUGUGGGUUGGAAAGAUUUUUUUGGUUGGGGAUGGACUCGCGGCCUAUCAGCUUGUUGGUGAGGUAGUGGCUCACCAAGGCUUCGACGGGUAGCCGGCCUGAGAGGGCGACCGGCCACAUUGGGACUGAGAUACGGCCCAAACUCCUACGGGAGGCAGCAGUGGGGAAUAUUGCACAAUGGACGGAAGUCUGAUGCAGCAACGCCGCGUGCGGGAUGACGGCCUUCGGGUUGUAAACCGCUUUCAAUUGUGACGAAGCUUUUUGUGACGGUAGCAGUAGAAGAAGCACCGGCUAACUACGUG